UACGUAGGGUGCAAGCGUUAUCCGGAAUUAUUGGGCGUAAAGAGCUCGUAGGCGGUCUGUCGCGUCUGCUGUGAAAACUGGAGGCUCAACCUCCAGCCUGCAGUGGGUACGGGCAGACUAGAGUGCGGUAGGGGAGAUUGGAAUUCCUGGUGUAGCGGUGGAAUGCGCAGAUAUCAGGAGGAACACCGAUGGCGAAGGCAGAUCUCUGGGCCGUAACUGACGCUGAGGAGCGAAAGCAUGGGGAGCGAACAGG
rnacentral:rRNA from 1 species